rnacentral:tRNA from 1 species
AGAGACUUAGGUUUAAGAUAAGACCAAGGGCCUUCAAAGCCCUCAGUAGGGGUGAGAAUCUCCUAGUCUCUG